UAUUGCACAAUGGGGGGAACCCUGAUGCAGCAACGCCGCGUGAAGGAAGAAGGCUUUCGGGUUGUAAACUUCUAUCAAUAGGGACGAAAAGAAUGACGGUACCUAAAUAAGAAGCCCCGGCUAACUACGUGCCAGCAGCCGCGGUAAUACGUAGGGGGCAAGCGUUAUCCGGAAUUACUGGGUGUAAAGGGAGCGUAGGCGGCAUGGUAAGCCAGAUGUGAAAGCCCGCGGCUUAACCGCGCGGAUUGCAUUUGGAACUAUCAAGCUAGAGUACAGGAGAGGAAAGCGGAAUUCCUAGUGUAGCGGUGAAAUGCGUAGAUAUUAGGAAGAACACCAGUGGCGAAGGCGGCUUUCUGGACUGUAACUGACGUUGAGGCUCGAAAGCGUGGGGAGCAAACAGG
rnacentral:rRNA from 1 species